rnacentral:rRNA from 1 species
AGUUUAUUGACGUUACCUCAUGAAUAAGGGGCUCCCAACUCUGUGCCAGCAGGAGCGGUAAUACAGAGGCCCCAAGCAUUAUCCGGAUUUACUGGGCGUAAAGGGUGCGUAGGCGGUUAUAUUAGUCAGGUGUAAAAUCCUCGGGCUCAACCCGAGACUCGCAUUUGAAACGGUAUAACUAGAAGAAGUCAGAGGUAAGCAGAACUCUCGGUGUAGGGGUGAAAUCCGUUGAUAUCGAGGGGAAUACCAAAUGCGAAGGCAGCUUACUGGGACUUUCUUGACGCUGAGGCACGAAAGCAUGGGUAGCGAAGCGGAUUAGAUACCCGCGUAGUCCAUGCCCUAAACGCUGUCUGUUGGCUUUGGGGGGAAUCGACCCCCUCCGAGGCGAAGUUAACACGUUAAACAGACCGCCUGGGUAGUACGAGCGCAAGCUUAAAACUCAAAGGAAUAGACGGGGGCUCGCACAAGCGGUGGAUCAUGAGGCUUAAUUCGUCGAUAAGCGAAAAACCUUACCAAGGCUAGAAAUCAUACUGCAUCUUUUAGGAAACUAAGAGAGCCUUCGAGGGUGUAUGACAGGUGAUGCAUGGCCGUCGUCAGUUCGUGGCUUGAGCUGUUCCCUUAAGUGGGGAAACGAACGCAACCCUCGUUGCCUGUUACAAGUGUCAGGCGAGACUGCUCCCUCACGGGAGAGGAAGGUGAGGAUGACGCCAGGUCAGCAUGUCCCUAGAUGCCUUGGGCUGCACUCGUGAUACAAUGGGUAGUACAACGGGACGCAAUACAGUAAUGUGGAGCAAAUCCUAAUAAAACUAUCCUCAGUUCGGAUUGAGGGCUGCAACUCGCCCUCAUGAAGCCGGAAUCGCUAGUAAUCGUGAAUCAGCACGUCACGGUGAAUACGUUCCCGAGCCUUGUACUCACCGCCCGUCAAGUCAGGGGAGUCGGGAGUGCCCGAAGUCCCACCUCGCGUGGGCCGACGGUAAACUCGAUAACAAGGACUAAGUCGUAACAAGGCACGGCUAGCGGAAGCUGGUCGUGGAUUAAUUCCAAU